rnacentral:rRNA from 1 species
CCUAACACAUGCAAGUCGAACGGUAGAGUAGCAAUACUUGAGAGUGGCGAACGGGUGAGUAAUAUAUCGGAACGUGCCCAGUCGUGGGGGAUAACGUAGAGAAAUUUACGCUAAUACCGCAUACGAUCUAAGGAUGAAAGCGGGGGACCGUAAGGCCUCGCGCGAUUGGAGUGGCUGAUAUCAGAUUAGGUUGUUGGUGAGGUAAAAGCUCACCAAGCCGACGAUCUGUAGCUGGUUUGAGAGAACGACCAGCCACACUGGGACUGAGACACGGCCCAGACUCCUACGGGAGGCAGCAAUGGGGAAUUUUGGACAAUGGGCGAAAGCCUGAUCCAGCAAUGCCGCGUGCAGGAAGAAGGCCUUCGGGUUGUAAACUGCUUUUGUACGGAACGAAACGGUCUGCUUUAAUACAGUGGGCUAAUGACGGUACCGUAAGAAUAAGCACCGGCUAACUACGUGCCAGCAGCCGCGGUAAUACGUAGGGUGCGAGCGUUAAUCGGAAUUACUGGGCGUAAAGCGUGCGCAGGCGGUUAUAUAAGACAGUUGUGAAAUCCCCGGGCUCAACCUGGGAAUUGCAUCUGUGACUGUAUAGCUGGAGUACGGUAGAGGGGGAUGGAAUUCCGCGUGUAGCAGUGA